rnacentral:tRNA from 1 species
GGGGCUGUGGCUCAGUGGGAGAGUGCUCUCCUAGCAUAUGUGAGGCCCUGAGUUCGAUCCUCAGCACCACA